UGCAUAUCAAUAAGCGGAGGAAAAGAAACCAACAGGGAUUGCCUUAGUAGCGGCGAGUGAAGCGGCAAAAGCUCAAAUUUGAAAUCUGGCACCUUCGGUGUCCGAGUUGUAAUUUGAAGAUUGUAACCUUGGGGUUGGCUCUUGUCUAUGUUUCUUGGAACAGGACGUCACAGAGGGUGAGAAUCCCGUGCGAUGAGAUGCCCAAUCCUAUGUAAGGUGCUUUCGAAGAGUCGAGUUGUUUGGGAAUGCAGCUCUAAGUGGGUGGUAAAUUCCAUCUAAAGCUAAAUAUUGGCGAGAGACCGAUAGCGAACAAGUACAGUGAUGGAAAGAUGAAAAGAACUUUGAAAAGAGAGUGAAAAAGUACGUGAAAUUGUUGAAAGGGAAGGGUUUGAGAUCAGACUCGAUAUUUUGUGAGCCUUGCCUUCGUGGCGGGGUGACCCGCAGCUUAUCGGGCCAGCAUCGGUUUGGGCGGUAGGAUAAUGGCGUAGGAAUGUGACUUUUCUUCGGUGAAGUGUUAUAGCCUGCGUUGAUGCUGCCUGCCUAGACCCGAGGACUGCGAUUUAUCAGAUGCGCNUUUUGGGUGU
rnacentral:rRNA from 1 species